UACAGAGGGGGCAAGGCGUUGUCCGGAUUGACUGGGCGUACAGCGCGCGCAGACGGAGUAUUACGUGCUUUGUGACAUCUCCGAGCUUAACUGGGAGGCGCCAAGGUACACGGAUAGUCUUGAGUGGUUGAGAGGGAUGUGGAAUACCCGGUGGAGCGGUGAAAUGCGUAGGAGAUCGGGUGGAACACCAGAGGCGAAGGCGGCAUCCUGGCAACAUGACUGACGUUGAGGCGCGAGAGCGUGGGGAGCAAACGGG
rnacentral:rRNA from 1 species